AGCCUGAUGCAGCGACGCCGCGUGAGGGAUGACGGCCUUCGGGUUGUAAACCUCUUUCAGUAGGGAAGAAGCGUAAGUGACGGUACCUGCAGAAGAAGCGCCGGCUAACUACGUGCCAGCAGCCGCGGUAAUACGUAGGGCGCAAGCGUUAUCCGGAAUUAUUGGGCGUAAAGAGCUCGUAGGCGGUUUGUCGCGUCUGCCGUGAAAGUCCGGGGCUCAACUCCGGAUCUGCGGUGGGUACGGGCAGACUAGAGUGAUGUAGGGGAGACUGGAAUUCCUGGUGUAGCGGUGAAAUGCGCAGAUAUCAAGAGGAACACCGAUGGCGAAGGCAGGUCUCUGGGCAUUAACUGACGCUGAGGAGCGAAAGCAUGGGGAGCGAACAGGAUUAGAUACCCUGGUAGUCCAUGCCGUAAACGUUGGGCACUAGGUGUGGGGGACAUUCCACGUUUUCCGCGCCGUAGCUAACGCAUUAAGUGCCCCGCCUGGGGAGUACGGCCGCAAGGCUAAAACUCAAAGGAAUUGACGGGGGCCCGCACAAGCGGCGGAGCAUGCGGAUUAAUUCGAUGCAACGCGAAUAACCUUACCAAGGCUUGACAUGAACCGGAUACGCCUGGAAACAGGUGCCCCACUUGUGGUC
rnacentral:rRNA from 1 species